GACGAACGCUGGCGGCGUGCUUAACACAUGCAAGUCGAACGAAGUGGCGAACGGGUGAGUAACGCGUAAUCAACCUGCCCUUCAGAGGGGGAUAACAGUUGGAAACGACUGCUAAUACCGCAUACUGAAGGAGGGGUUUGCGUCGGAUUAGCUCGUUGGAGGGGUAACGGGCCACCAAGGCGAUGAUCAGUAGCCGGUCUGAGAGGAUGGACGGCCACAUUGGUACUGAGACAAGGCCCAGACUGCUACGGUAGGCAGCAGUGGGGGAUGUUUCGGAAUGGACGAAAGUCUGACGGAGCAAAGCCGCGGGGGUGAUGACGGCCUUCGGGUUGUAAAGCUCUGUUAAUCGGGACGCGGUACCGGAAUAGAAAGCCACGGCUAACUACGUGCCAGCAGCCGCGGUAAUAC
rnacentral:rRNA from 1 species